CCUACCUAUAAGACUGGGAUAACUUCGGGAAACCGGAGCUAAUACCGGAUAAUAUAUUGAACCGCAUGGUUCAAUAGUGAAAGACGGUUUUGCUGUCACUUAUAGAUGGAUCCGCGCCGCAUUAGCUAGUUGGUAAGGUAACGGCUUACCAAGGCAACGAUGCGUAGCCGACCUGAGAGGGUGAUCGGCCACACUGGAACUGAGACACGGUCCAGACUCCUACGGGAGGCAGCAGUAGGGAAUCUUCCGCAAUGGGCGAAAGCCUGACGGAGCAACGCCGCGUGAGUGAUGAAGGUCUUCGGAUCGUAAAACUCUGUUAUUAGGGAAGAACAAAUGUGUAAGUAACUAUGCACGUCUUGACGGUACCUAAUCAGAAAGCCACGGCUAACUACGUGCCAGCAGCCGCGGUAAUACGUAGGUGGCAAGCGUUAUCCGGAAUUAUUGGGCGUAAAGCGCGCGUAGGCGGUUUUUAAGUCUGAUGUGAAAGCCACGGCUCACCGUGGAGGUCAUGGGAACUGAAACUGAGUGCAGAGAGAAGUGAAUCCAUGUGUARCGUGAAUGCCRAGAUUGAGACCCAGUGCAGGCACUUCUGUCGUACGACCGAUU
rnacentral:rRNA from 1 species